rnacentral:rRNA from 1 species
UACGUAGGGGGCGAGCGUUGUCCGGAUUUAUUGGGCGUAAAGAGCUCGUAGGCGGUUUGGUAAGUUGGAUGUGAAAUCUCCAGGCUCAACUUGGAGGGGUCAUUCGAUACUGCCAUGACUAGAGUUCGGUAGGGGAGUGUGGAAUUCCUGGUGUAGCGGUGAAAUGCGCAGAUAUCAGGAGGAACACCGGUGGCGAAGGCGGGUCUCUGGGCCGAAACUGACGCUGAGGAGCGAAAGCGUGGGGAGCAAACAGG